rnacentral:lncRNA from 1 species
AACUUGUUCAUUAUUUUACUAACUGGGAUUCGACUUCCCAACCCUAAGUUAUUUUUUUGAAAUAUAAUUUUCCUGUUAAUAUUUUGCUAUUUCCUCCUCUGCUAGGUGAGUUUUUAAAGUACAAUCCAAGUUGGGAGGUCAUCUAGGUUGCACAUUUCUUAAAUGUUCACUAGGCUCUAAUAGGUCUUUAGAUUUGAGGGUUUCUCCUUAUGUUCAAGAUAUAUAAUGCAAAAUACCGUGAUAGUAUGAGAAAAGUUUUGGUUAGGAAAUCGGAAACAUAGAUGACCAUCUGCAAUACCUCUAUGCUUUUCCUCCUAGCUGAAUUUAAGUGUCAGCCAGGCCGAUUUCAGUGUGGAACAGGACUCUGCGCACUCCCUGCCUUCAUCUGUGAUGGGGAAAAUGACUGUGGAGACAACUCAGAUGAACUUAACUGUGACACACAUGUCUGCCUGGCAGGUCAGUUCAAGUGUACCAAGAAUAAGAAAUGCAUCCCAGUAAACCUCAGAUGUAAUGGACAAGAUGAUUGUGGUGAUGAAGAAGAUGAGAGAGACUGUCCUGAAAACAGCUGCUCUCCCGACUAUUUCCAAUGUAAGACGACGAAGCAUUGCAUCUCCAAGCUGUGGGUUUGUGACGAGGACCCAGACUGUGCUGAUGCCUCUGAUGAGGCCAACUGUGAUAAAAAGACUUGUGGACCUCAUGAAUUCCAGUGUAAGAACAACAACUGUAUUCCAGACCACUGGCGAUGUGAUAGUCAGAAUGACUGCAGUGAUAAUUCUGACGAAGAAAACUGCAGUAAGUGAAUCUUGCCUAAUGACCUUCCAAGUCUGUCAGCCCAUUCAAUA